GUCCAUCUCCAUGGUGAAAGGCAGCAGCGCUACACCGGAUAAGGGUCGGACUUUACCGGUUGACCCGAAUCUUCCCCGGUACAUCUGUCAGAACUGCCACAAUCCCCUUUGCAUCGCCGGCGUCGAUAAUUAUGCCGACAAGUUUUUCCCUGAUUCUUCUUAUCGCUCCGGGAUGCAGGCCUCUUCAAUUCAUGGAGCUGGUAGUGCUAUAGGGUCGACGAGCCGAAUGGAAAAUUCGUAUGUUAUGUUGCCAAAGCAAAGAAAUCAGGGAUCAGGAAUUCCGCCUCGAGGACGAGGAUCUGCACAGCCAGAUGCAAGCCAGUUUGGGAGGGCCAUGGAAGAAUCAUUUGUGGUUUUGCCUCCACCAGCUGCUUCAGUAUAUAAGUGUGAGCCUACGUCUGAUGGAUCUGGUACAAAUCUUCCAUCACCAGAUGGUGGACCUCCAAAUGCUCCCAUGCAGUCAAACAAUUCUGGGUUUCACUCCACCAUCACUGUCCUAAAACGUGCAUUUGAUAUUGCCACAACACAGACCCAGAUUGAGCAACCCCUAUGUCUUGAAUGCAUGAGGGUGCUGUCUGAUAAACUUGAUAAGGAGGUUGAAGAUGUUAACAGGGACAUACAAGCCUAUGAAGCUUGCCUUCAUCAAUUGGAGGGAGAAGCAAGAAAUGUUCUUAGCGAGGCUGAUUUUCUGAAGGAGAAGUUGAAGAUAGAAGAAGAAGAGCGGAAACUUGAAACAGCAAUAGAAGAAACAGAGAAGCAAUGUGCUGUAGUCACUGCUGAACUGAAGGAACUAGAGAUGAAGUCUGGCCGCUUUAAGGAGUUGGAAGAGCGGUACUGGCAAGAAUUCAAUAACUUUCAGUUUCAGUUGAUAUCUCAUCAGGAAGAGAGAGAUGCAAUUUUAGCUAAGACAGAAGUUUCACAAGCUCACUUAGAGCUGCUAAAGCGGACUAAUGUGCUCAAUGAUGCAUUUCCAAUCUGGUAUGAUGGUGAAUUUGGAACAAUUAACAACUUUCGUCUCGGAAGACUUCCUAAAAUUCCGGUUGAGUGGGACGAGAUAAAUGCAGCAUGGGGUCAAGCGUGCCUUCUUCUCCAUACAAUGGCUCAGCAUUUCCGACCAAAGUUUCAAUAUCGGAUAAAAAUUAUUCCUAUGGGAAGUUAUCCUCGGAUCAUAGACACCAACAAUACUACUUAUGAACUAUUUGGCCCAGUAAAUCUCUUCUGGAGCACACGGUAUGAUAAAGCAAUGACAUUGUUCUUGAUCUGCCUAAAGGAGUUCUCCGAGUUUGCAAAUUCAAAAGACAGGGAAAACAACAUUCGUCCUGAUAAAUGUUUUAAGCUUCCUUACAAGAUUGAAAAUGACAAAGUUGAAAGUUACUCCAUAACCCAGAGCUUUAACAAACAAGAAAAUUGGACCAAAGCUCUCAAGUACACACUCUGCAAUUUGAAGUGGGUGCUCUACUGGUUUGUUGGUAACACAAAUUUCCAGCCACUUUCUGGAACAGUCUCUUCACAAGCUGAAGUUCCAGCUGCAGCAGGAUCACUGUACAGCAAACAACCAACUAAUACCAAGUUUCAAUCUUGAAUCACUAAUAACAACUUCUCCCCUCGUUCUAAUCGUGUCGUAAGUAGACAAGAAACUCAAAUUAUAUGGAUGCAAAGCGAUCACUUGUAAUAUUGCAUCAUUUUAUUUAUUUUCUUGUCUCCUUGAAAUAGUUUGGCGUUGUAUAUAUAUAUAUAAAUACCAAUAUAGCUAUGCA
rnacentral:misc_RNA from 1 species